rnacentral:tRNA from 1 species
UCUAAUAUGGCAGAUUAGUGCAGUGGAUUUAAGCUCCAUAAAUAAAGUAAUUUACUCUUUUUUUAGAA